AUUUACAUAAAUUAAUUACCUGGCUUAAAUCUACUAGAAGAGGCUGUCCCUUAAAAUUUUUAGCCCAGAGAAGGAUAUUGAGGAGUGCCAGGGAUUGCUCAUAUUCUUGCUAUACACUUACCUGCUUAGAAUUCAGAAAUUUUUAGGGCUACAAGAAGGGGAAUAUGGGACUGCAUCAAGGGAAAAUUUGGGUAAAUGGUGAUGAUGAAGGUCUGCUGCAAAACUGAGCUUCUGAUUUGGUUUCUACUUCAAGCUCCAAGCUCAAAUGUAGCAACGAUUUAUGUAUUAAAUGCAUGAAAAUAUUUCACAACAUCAAGGGCAAGACAAAGGAAAUUGGGCAGUCAGCAGCUUCGGACAGCUUGUCUGCUGAGGUGAUGCUACCUGGAAAUCUUUCAGCUCCUCUUCCAGUGUGGAGGAGCUCAGAGGACCUUUGCUAAAAUCCUAAGAUUAAUUAUUAGUGCAAGGAGAACAAGAGUAAAAUGGUCAUCUGGAUAGUGGCACAUCUUGAACAAGUAACAUUUCCAGAACAAGGCAACUGUCUGAAGAACUACAGCGUGAGGAGCACAAAAGGUCCAGUGCCCAGGACACAAACCCUGGAGGCUUUGGCUAACAAAGGGGCUGACAAGGAGAGCCUGAGUGACAGUGAGUGAAGUGUUCACCAGAUCCUUUUGUUACAGAUAGCAGAAAUAUAAACAACACUUAAUUCAAAGAAAUUAGGAAUUAUUUGAG
rnacentral:lncRNA from 1 species